rnacentral:lncRNA from 10 species
AAUCCUAUCUACUUGAUUGUUAAAUUCCUCUUCUGCUGAAGUCGCCCUUUGAAGCUGACUCCACCAGAGACCCGAUUCUUGAACUUUUAAUGCACAUUUGGAAAUCCCGUGUUUAGUUGGCUUAGAUUAUAAACUGCAGGAGAACAAGAAGUGUAUCAAUUAUGUUCCAGUUUCUAGGAUGUGCUCUUCUAGUGGAUCCACAAGCAAA